UACCAGCACCCCGAGUGGUCGGGACGAUUAUUGGGCCUAAAGCAUCCGUAGCCGGUUCUACAAGUCUUCCGUUAAAUCCACCUGCUUAACAGAUGGGCUGCGGAGGAUACUAUGGAGCUAGGAGGCGGGAGAGGCAAGCGGUAUUUAGUGGGUAGGGGUAAAAUCCGUUGAUCCAUUGAAGACCACCAGUGGCGAAGGCGGCUUGCCAGAACGCACUCGACGGUGAGGGAUGAAAGCUGGGGGAGCAAACCGG
rnacentral:rRNA from 1 species